rnacentral:RNase_P_RNA from 4 species
AGCGCGGGACGGGCGAUCGCUGGCGGACGACUUCAAAAUCGUUUGCGGGAGGAAAGUCCGGGCUCCAUCAGCAAAGGUACUGGUUAACGGCCAGGCACCCUGAGCAAUCAGGAGUGACGGAAAGUGCAACAGAAAACAAACCGCCGCGGUUUCACGACUGCGGUAAGGGCGAAACGGCGAGGUAAGAGCUCACCGCGGUUCUGGUGACAGAACCGGCAAGGCAAACCCUACCUGGAGCAAGGCCAAAUAGGGGAGCGAUGACAGGAUUCACGUCUUGUCACGGUGAGCUUCACCGCUGCUCCCGGGUAAGGCCGCACGAGGUGUCCAGCAAUGGGCAUCCUAGAGGAAUGAUCGCCUCCGUGAAUUCCAAAAGACUUCGCGAAGACAGAACCCGGCUUACAGUCCUGCGCUAAUU